AAUGAAGAUAGUGACAAGUUUAAAUUUUAAACUGAUGCCCAAAAAUUGGCACACGGUAACUCUGGUGAAAAGCGAAGUGCGCAUGUAAGAAGCAGAAUUAGAAAAUUCGAGAUCACGUGGCUGUAAAACCAAACUUAAUAAAAAGAAUUAGACAGAAAAAUAAUUUGGAGGAAUUCAACGGAAAAGGAUAAGUAUUACAAUUAUUGUAAAUAAAAAAUUAGUAAAAAGACGUUUUCAAACCUAAUGAGCAAAGAAAAACAAAUUUAUCUGUCAAGCGCAAAAAAAUAUAGAAAGCUUGAUGAAUUUGCUCAAAGAAUUGAAAACGCUAAUAAUAAUGAUAAUAAGCAUUAAUAGUGAUAUAAGUGAUGCAAUAGAUGUGGAAAUUAGUGAAACAUUUGGCGAAAUACCAGACAAGUGUAGUGAGAUGAAAUCUUGGGUAGUGCGAGAUAACAUCUCGCAAAAUGCCGUAAACGAUCUGCUCCAGAUGUUGAGGAGAGUUGGUGUUCAAGGUUUUCCAAAGUCAGCAAAAUCCCUUCUGGAAACAAAUCGGCAGAAAUCUGAAAUACAAAAAUUGUCCCAAGGAGAUUUUGUUUACUUUGGAAUUCAGAACCAUUUUAUAUCCAACAGUUUCUCUUUCCUAAAUAACACCAGCGAAAUACUAAUUGAUGUAGGCAUCCACGGACUUAAGUUAUUUAAAAGUUCUAAUAAAGUUUUAUGGCCGAUAUUAGGAUCGCUAGUAGGGUUCUAAGACCAAAGUCCGUUUCCUAUCGCCUGCUUUUCUGGUACCAAAAAACCGGAAAAUAUUGACGAUUUUAACGCGUGCUUUUUGUGAAGAAGUGGUUUUAUUAAGAGAAAUUGGGCUUAAAGUCGGAUAUAGUGAAAACCUUAAAAGAUUGAAUAUCCGCCUUUUUACUUGUGAUACGCCUGCCCGCUCUUUUGUCACUGGCGUUAAAUCCCAUAAUGCAAUAAACGGGUGUCCAAAAUGCAGUCAAGUGGGAAAAUAGAGUAAGCUUCUCAAAACAACUUCAUACACCUCGAUCAGAUUCUUCUUUUGCACUUCGCACCGAUAAAUUGCAUCACAGAGUACAAUUUGAAAAUGCAAAGAGUUUAGUUGAGCUUUGUGGGUUUGGAAUGGUAUCUCAAUUUCCCUUGGACGUGAUGCAUUUAGUGGAUUUAGGAGUAAUGAAAAAAUUGCUUCAUCUUCUAAUGAAAGUAGGAAAUGUUACUAAAAUGAACGAAAAAAUGAAUUUAGUGAAAAAAUAUGUGCCAAAAGAAUUUGGUCGCGUUUCAAGAAAUUUAGAUGAAAUUUCAAAUUGGAAAGCAACUGAGUUUAGGCAGUUGUUGCUGUACUCUGGGGUAUUUAUUCUCAAAGAUUGUAUACCGAGCGACCAUUAUUACCAUUUUUUGUUACUGCAUUCAGGUAUCCGUUUAUUGUCUAGUGAAAGAUCUCAUAGCAAAGAAAGUAAUGUAACACAAAAAAUACUAGAACAGUUUGUGAAUAUAUUUGGCGUUAUUUAUGGCAAGCAUUUAAUUAGUUUCAAUGUCCAUGGAUGACUACAUCUUUCAGAAUGCGCAAAACAAUAUGUACCUUGAUAGUUUCUCAGCAUACAAGUUUGAGAACUAUAUGCAACAUAUAAAGAAGAUGAUAAAAAAGCCGAAUCAUUUUGCAACAAAUGUGUUUAAUAGUCCAAGAGAGGUAUUCAUUAAGUGUUUCAGCUAUCAAGACCACCAAUUAUGAAAUGCAGUUUGAUAUUUAUUGCAAAGUUGAGAAAGAAUGUUAUCACUGCAGUGAAAACUUUGGUCCGUUAAAAGUUAUAGGUACAGAUUCAGAAAGUGAUAACUAUUUGGCUUAUACAUUUAUGGUUACUAAAGAUUACUUCAAUGAGCCCCUAAGACCUUUUUCAGGUCUUGGUAUAGUAGUAGGUAGUCACUUAGAUACUAGCAAUUUUUAAAAAUACUGAAAAAUGACAAAGUAUAAAUAUUUUUGUAUUACUACUGAAGGAAAGUAUAUUUUAAUUCCGAUCCCGCAUCACCUAGUUCACGAAUUCACACUUUAAAGAAAGAUAAAAGACAAAUACUUAAAAAUAUUUUUAUUUUUACUACAGAAAUAGAGACAGCCACUAUUUUUGAAGGCGUGCUCUUAAUUCCAGUAUAUGACGAAGUUACUAUUGCCACAACAAUUCCCAGAUUGCAACUGUCAACAAGCGAUUGUAACAAUACACCCUUCAAAAAGAGGAAGGUCUUUGCAGCUGUGGAAAAUACCCAGCCAUCACAAGCAAACGAUGUGACUGACCUACUUCACAAGAUUGUCGAAACCAGGAGAGGAUCGAGAAGAAAAUUGAUACGCUUGCACAAAAUUUCUCUUUUUAUUUUCAGAUGGUUGACAAAACAGAGUUUAUGGCAACAAACAAGCUACUGCGUGAGACCAAGGUGUCCGUAACACUCAUCAAAAAUUCUAUAGCCACCAUAACCGGAGAAAAUCCUGACGAGUUACUCUUUUACCGAUAAACUCAUUAGCCGCAUUGUAUGAUAUUGAAGAAAAGCUAAAGAAAGAAGAAUAUGAGAGAGUUAUGACCGCAGUGCUGUAUAAACUCAAAGGUGUUUCUGAGGACGUGGGCAGUAAAAUGAAAAAAGUGUUCACGGACGAAUUACUUCAUCUAUUUAACUAUGAUGGGCGGUGCGAAAAGAAGGCUUUAAACCAGCUAUUGCUGGUAGACAAAUUAAUGUCUGGACGCAAACAAUUUGAAAAAGGUAUAAAAAAGGCGGUGGAGCUCAGAACCAAGCAAAACAGAUUUUUAGAUAAUAAGAAGGCAAAUGUGUCCACAAUAUUAAACACAUAAGUAACUAUAUGUAUAAUCUGCAGAAGUCUUAAAGUACUGACACUUAAAAAAUAUUUAUGAAUUACAUUUUUUUAAUUAUACAUAAAUAUACAGUAUCGGCCAUAUCAACAGUACCCCUAUUUCAAUAUUCUUUGCCACAUAUCUAUAUUUAUUUAUUUUUAAAAAUUUUCAAUUAAAAUACAGUUCAUCUCAGAAGUUGUAGAAUUUAUUUAGUAUACAGUUUUAUAGCCCAUUCAUUUUUAGUGCCAGUUUCAAGUGGUUAAAAAUUACCGUUGAUUUUGUAUAUUUUUUUUUCGAAGUUGUUGCGUGUUGUUUCUUCCAUAUAAAAAUAAAUUCAGCCUCAUUGCUUACGUCGUAAAUCAUGCUAAAUUGUACGACUCGACAACAUUGGCAUUGCCUACUGUCGUGCUGGAAUAAGUAAACGACGAAAAUCGUCGAAAACUAUGUAGUGCUGCCAAUACACUAGUCGAGUCGAAAUUUAAGACAAUGCCAUGCAAUUUUCGAUGCGACUCGACUCUCGAAAAACGACUUGCAAAGGACAUGACGCUCGCAAUCAGGCUGAUUGUGUUUAUUCGUUAUAUGUAAGCAAAUGCGACAAAAAAAAUUCUUAAAAAUCCACGGUCAUUUUUAGCUAAUUGAAACUUGAAUAUUAUUAGACUAAAAGUGAAUGGACUAUAAAACUGUGUACUCAAAAAAACUAUAUAACUUCUGAGAAAAAAGUUGGA